GGCUUCAGUCACAACACGGUGGGGCUCCCUGGCUGCGCCCGGCCCGGCAGCUACGGGCCCAGCGCCUGGUGGCGGCGCUGAGGGGUCGCCGAGAGGGGCCCGGCGGCGUCUGCGGGGGCCGCUCCCUCGGUGGGCCGCGGGCGAGGCAUGAGCGCGGGCUCCCCCUGCCUCCGGAGCGCCGGCGGGGGACCGGGGGGCAGGAGAUGUGCCUGUCCUUAGCGGCCCAGGAAGCAGCAUGCACCCCGAUGCGAC
rnacentral:lncRNA from 1 species